rnacentral:rRNA from 1 species
GAUGAACGCUAGCUACAGGCUUAACACAUGCAAGUCGAGGGGAAACGAUAGAGAAAGCUCGCUUUUUCUAGGCGUCGACCGGCGCACGGGUGAGUAACGCGUAUCCAACCUGCCCAUCACUUGGGGAUAACCUUGCGAAAGUAAGACUAAUACCCAAUGACGUCUCUAGAAGACAUCUGAAAGAGAUUAAAGAUUUAUCGGUGAUGGAUGGGGAUGCGUCUGAUUAGCUUGUUGGCGGGGUAACGGCCCACCAAGGCGACGAUCAGUAGGGGUUCUGAGAGGAAGGUCCCCCACAUUGGAACUGAGACACGGUCCAAACUCCUACGGGAGGCAGCAGUGAGGAAUAUUGGUCAAUGGACGAGAGUCUGAACCAGCCAAGUAGCGUGCAGGAUGACGGCCCUAUGGGUUGUAAACUGCUUUUACCUGGGAAUAACGGGCGCUACGCGUAGCGCUGUGCAUGUACCGGGAGAAUAAGCAUCGGCUAAUUCCGUGCCAGCA